rnacentral:tRNA from 11 species
UCAAUAGCUGAGUGGGUAACGUGAUGGCGUUUAAAGCGAAAGCUACUGGGUUCAAAUCCCAGAGUGA